GGAGCCGUGUCAGAGCGGUCUAACGUACGACUUUGCUAAAGUCGCAGGGGCUUCAAAACCCCUCGGGAGUUCGAAUCUCCCCGGCUCCGCCA
rnacentral:tRNA from 1 species